GUUGCCACGGUGACAUAGAUAGAGGACCUUACAUACAGAACAUUGACGGAGGUGUUUCAGAUUUGGGGCAUAGAGGGUUGUGUCUCAGUGGUAACGAUCAAAACCAUACAAAGAUGCAUACAGAUUGUAGAUGGACGUGUUCUCAGAUUUGGAGCAUAUCUGAUUUGUUGUGCUUUAAAAAGAUAGUGUUCUGAGGCAAAGAUCAAGAACAUACAUACAUAUCAUGGACGAUGACGGACGAAGGUGUUGUUAGAUCUGGACCAUAAAUGAUUUUACACAUGCCUUUGUGUAAAUAUACAGAGUACAAGGUUACCAUGGAAAUGUACCUCUACAUCUAGCCAGAGAUAAAUGGAUGACCGACGUCCAAGUCACCGAACAGCAGUGAGAGAAAUACUGCAACCGAUCACGUGACAAACGCUACGUUUUGAAUAGCAUAAGCCUUGCUAAGAUCUGUACAUAAAUUCAGAUUUUUCCAAACUGAUGGCUGAUGUUGAAUACAAGCACAUGUGAAGAUAUAAUGUUGUAGAUAUCGCAAUGGUUUAGCGGACGGUGCAGCUAUGGUAACUAAUGUUGACUUCACAAGCACUGCAAGGAAUUCACAAUGGUUUAGUGGAUUGUGCAGCUUGGUCGUUUUUCUAGGGCACAACGGGAAAGCUAAGGUCGACAUUUCUCCCAGAGUAACUUGAGAGCUUCGGGCAUGCGCAUACAGUUUCUGGCUUUGGUGAUUGUAAAGUUCGAAGUAUUUGGUGAGAGACUAACCAACGAAGGACACAAACCAUCUGAUGAGUAGCAGUUUCCUAGACCAUACACGAAGAAACUUUUAGUUACUGGAACUACAAUUGCCACAGGCCUGCCUUGCUGGUACCAUAAAGCUGCCGAUAAACAGAGGUGCACUAGUACCUGUCGAUACCGGUCACCAGAGACGCACUGGUACCCUAUCGAUGCCGAUCAUCAGAGGUGUGCUGGACCCCUUAUGUCAUGAUGCCAACAUAUUGAUCAGGUGUUUUCAACCAGCACUGAUCGAUGGUUUUAAUGGAAUUCAAAGCUUGAUGGACAUAUCGUCUGUAUUUGUCCUGUCGUACUCACGGUAAAGAGCUCUUCAACACCUCUUGCACAAAACAAAAAAUCCUGGAUGGCCGGGCAGACGAAGACUUCAGUCAGGUUUGAAAAGGCAAGAAAACAGUUUUACGAAUCGAUUGCAGAAACAUAUCAUCAUGCCGUCCCUGUGUUUGUUAUUUCCAACAGAUGACAGUGCGAUGCGUUCCAGAUUGAUUUCAAACACACAAGAGAGAAGUAUAUGCGGAAGAAAGAAAGAAGUAUGAUGAAUUCACGACAAACCUUGCACAGGAUAUAAGCAUGACACCACCACAGCCACCCUGACACAAGCAUAUUUAAACAAAUUAGAAAUAAGCUGACAUGUUUAUAAUCAUAUCCCCACGUACAAAGUAUAUGGGGUUAUAUUGGAGUCACGUAUGUCCACCAGUCUGUUCGUCCGUCCGUCCGUCCAUCGUGUCCGCUUUCAUAAAACUGACAUCAAUUAUUAACCACAUCAGGACGGUGUGCUGAGCUCACAACCCGUCACUAGGUCCAAAGUUAAGGUUACUCUUUGAGGUCAAAAGUCAUAUAGUUUAACUUCAUGUCCGGUCCAUAUUGUCUAAAUGGCUUGGAAGGUACAAAGCUCGGCUACUCGAAGAAUAAAGAUGAUUGUUAUACUUGCCUUUGCGUCGGUGUCACUGUGACCGAUGUAUUCAAGUUAAAAUUUUAUAGCAAGCUUGUGUCACUAUAUAUUCUUACUACUUCCCCUUUUAACUUCAAACUUCAUAUAAGUGUUAGUCUUGGUAAGGGACAGACAUCUGUUACUUUUAGAGUCUGGCUUCCUAAACGUCAAGGUCACUGGGUCAAACCUUAUAACAGUGCUGGUUAAAGUUUGACAAACUUCUCAAUUUCACCAUAUCCUCUUAACCAUAUAAUCACCAAACCUCACAUAAGGAUUGACCUUAGGAAAGGGCAAACAUCUUUAGGCUUAAGAUCAGGUAGGUCAAAGAUCAAGGGCACUGGGGUCAGAUUUUGUAAUAAUGUUGGUUAAAGUUUUAUGGCACACUUCUCAGUUUGACAUAUAACUCAUACUGUUUCUUUGCACUGGUAUCCCGUAUAUCCCACAUUUUAAAGCCCUACCUACACUGUCUGUACCCCAAUCCCGACACCUACCCAAAGAUACAUUCCUCACACAAACUUACAUUUCAUAUUCCCCUCAUCUCCACUACCCACCUGUCUUCACCUACUUCCACCAAUCCCAUAUCACCACUUCUAGCUCAAAACAAAGAAGAUUUAUUUUACAUUUUCUUUACAAUUAAUUAUACUGUAAAUUAAUGUAUAUCUUGUAUAUCAUAUGUUUAUAUGAUGUUUAAGUAUCCCUUAUACCCACACUUCUAUUCCCAACCCCACUCACUUCCAAAUUUUUUUCCUAUACAUGUAUAUUGUUUACAUCUCUCACACAUCACAUCUCACCCUUAUCUCCUAUUCUACAGCAACACCCCCUUACUUUCUCUAUAUUUCUUUAACAUCUUUCAUACUCCACUUGUAUUUCAUUUGAAUUUGUUUACCCCUCAUAACCCUUACCCCUCCCUACAUACACUGCUACCUCUAGCCACUCACAGAAAACCUUUUUCGUACAUUUCUGACACAUAUUGUUUUUUAGAUUCUUAGAUUCCCUCAUCUCCCAGCACCUACUUCCACUUAAUGUUGAUCAUUAGGUUCAAGGGCAAAGUCACACAUGAAGGUCAAAAGUCAUGGUGACAAAGUCUGGGGGUAUUAAUCACCUUCAGUGAUAGCUUUAACUGCUCAUGUUUAAGCGGCCUAAAUGUAUAACAAUAGCUGAAUUGUAUCAUUUAUUUUACAAGUGUUUGUUAAAUUUUAGGAUAAAUAGUUUCAGUAAAUUUAGAAAAUUAUAUAAUUUAAGAUCGGUGAUACAGUCGAACUAUUUUUAGACGAUUCAGAUAUUCUAGCUAGGUUUGUUUUUGGCCUUGAAAUUAUGCAUUUUUAUUUUUAUUGCAUUAUUUAAAAAAUACAUUUUUGAACACAAAAUUCACAUUUGACUUUGAUAAAUAAAAUAACAGGGGCAGCCAGUAUUUGUAAGAAACCACAUAGAAUAAUACUGAUUUGGUUAAUUAUUUCAAAAGCAUCUCAAAUAUACUUUUUAACUGGACAGGGAUAGUUUUCAAAGAUAAAUAAAUAUACGUAGAUCUGUUUAUGAACACAAAUCAACAACAUUUUGGGACAUGAGUUAAACUCCGAUAUUUGUUUGUUUCAGUGAUAGAUCGAAAUACAGAAUCAUUCUAAACUCAACUCCCGCAAAUGUAAACAUUUGUUUGUUUGUGUGUUUUGGGUUUAACGCCGUUUU
rnacentral:lncRNA from 1 species